rnacentral:misc_RNA from 1 species
UUAAGUUCAGCAGGUAGUCCUACCUGAUUUGAGAUCAAACGUUCAAAAGCUGUCCUCACCGAGGAGAGACAUUUAUGAGCCCCAGUGAACUUUCAUUGCUGAAGGUUACCUGGUGGAAAACCACAAGCGUAGAUAGUUAUCACACCUGUGAUGCCACCAAACACUGGCAAGCUGAUUCAUUUGAGAGGAGCUAACCAUAC